GCCUCCCCCCUUUGGAGGCGUCUCCUCCCUGAACCUUGGCCGCCCCAUGCUCUGCAUGGGGCGGUUUUUUCUUGGGUU
rnacentral:sRNA from 1 species